rnacentral:rRNA from 1 species
AUUGAACGCUGGCGGCAUGCCUUACACAUGCAAGUCGAACGGCAGCACGGGAGCAAUCCUGGUGGCGAGUGGCGAACGGGUGAGUAAUAUAUCGGAACGUGCCCAGUCGUGGGGGAUAACGUAGCGAAAGCUACGCUAAUACCGCAUACGAUCUAUGGAUGAAAGCGGGGGAUCGCAAGACCUCGCGCGAUUGGAGCGGCCGAUAUCAGAUUAGGUAGUUGGUGGGGUAAAGGCUCACCAAGCCGACGAUCUGUAGCUGGUCUGAGAGGACGACCAGCCACACUGGGACUGAGACACGGCCCAGACUCCUACGGGAGGCAGCAGUGGGGAAUUUUGGACAAUGGGCGCAAGCCUGAUCCAGCAAUGCCGCGUGCAGGAUGAAGGCCUUCGGGUUGUAAACUGCUUUUGUACGGAGCGAAAAGGCUCUCUCUAAUACAGGGGGCUCAUGACGGUACCGUAAGAAUAAGCACCGGCUAACUACGUGCCAGCCGCCGCAGUAA